UUUCCUAAUCCACUGGGAAUUUCUGAAUGACUGGAAAUGAUUCACAGGGAACAUCAUCAAGUAUAUAAAAGACUUGCUGUACAAAGGUGUUUGUGAACUUGUUUUUAGCUCAAAACUACAUAAGCUUUUACAUUAUAUUACAUGAUGAAUGCUCCAUCCAUCAGAAUGAUGAAGAUCUCACUGUUGGCUCUUGUUCUUGCCUUCAUGUUGGCACAGGGAUUUGCUCUCAAAUGCAACCACUGCGUUCCCCAGUCUGGAACACCGCAACCCAAGAGACUUGUGAUUUUGGAAAAGAUGCAUGCAUAUCUACAAGAAUGACAAUCCCUCCUUACAUGGGCUUUCGGAGAUGUGGCAGUAUGAGAGAGUGUCUUCUUUAUCAGGGCAAUACCGCCAUGAUGGCCAAAUGCUGCAAGACGGACCUCUGCAAUCCUGUUAUCUUUUAAAUCCAAUUCUGUUAAUGUAAAACAAAGAGAUGACAAUGAGUAAAAACUUUAUAGAUUUAUAUAAAUAUGUGUAAAAAAAAUUUGUUUUGUACUUGUUUACUAUACAGCAAAUUUUGUCAAAUAAUAAAUAGCCUUAUCCAUGAAGAAGAA